GAAUUCACUAGUGAUUAGAGUUUGAUCCUGGCUCAGGAUGAACGCUGGCGGCGUGCUUAACACAUGCAAGUCGAACGGGAGCUUCGGCUCCAGUGGCGGACGGGUGAGUAACGCGUGAGAAUCUGCCUUCAGGAGAGGGAUAACAGUUGGAAACGACUGCUAAUACCCCAUAUGCCGAGAGGUGAAACGUAAUUCGCCUGAAGAUGAGCUCGCGUCUGAUUAGCUAGUUGGUGGGGUAAGAGCCUACCAAGGCGACGAUCAGUAGCUGGUCUGAGAGGAUGAUCAGCCACACUGGGACUGAGACACGGCCCAGACUCCUACGGGAGGCAGCAGUGGGGAAUUUUCCGCAAUGGGCGAAAGCCUGACGGAGCAACGCCGCGUGGGGGAGGAAUGCCUGUGGGUUGUAAACCCCUUUUCUCAGGGAAGAAGAUCUGACGGUACCUGAGGAAUCAGCAUCGGCUAACUCCGUGCCAGCAGCCGCGGUAAUACGGAGGAUGCAAGCGUUAUCCGGAAUCAUUGGGCGUAAAGCGUCCGCAGGUGGCUAUCCAAGUCUGCUGUUAAAGCGCAGGGCUCAACUCUGUAACGGCAGUGGAAACUGGAUGGCUAGAGUACGGUAGGGGCAGAGGGAAUUCCCAGUGUAGCGGUGAAAUGCGUAGAUAUUGGGAAGAACACCAGUGGCGAAGGCGCUCUGCUGGGCCGUAACUGACACUCAUGGACGAAAGCUAGGGGAGCGAAAGGGAUUAGAUACCCCUGUAGUCCUAGCUGUAAACGAUGAC
rnacentral:rRNA from 1 species